CUGCUGCCUCCCGNAGGAGUCUGGGCCGUGUCUCAGUCCCAGUGUGUCCGUCCGCCCUCUCAGGCCGGAUACCGAUCGUUGCCUUGGUGGGCCGUUACCUCACCAACUAACUAAUCGGACGCGGGCCCCUCAUCAAGCGCCGGGUCUUGCGAUCCCCAGCUUUGAUCUCCGCCUGUUCAAAGGCAGGAUAUCAUGCGGUAUUAGCGUCCCUUUCGGGACGUUAUCCCCCACUCGAAGGUAGGUCACCCACGUGUUACUCACCCGUUCGCCACUCAGUCACCACAAUUCCUUGCGGAGCUGCGGUAACCGCGUUCGACUUGCAUGUGUUAGGCAUGCCGCCAGCGUUGAUUCUGAGCCAGGAUC
rnacentral:rRNA from 1 species